CUGGACCUGGAUCAAGGCCGGCAGCUUCCUGAUGCUGCUGGUUUCAAGCAGGCGCCUAAAGAGAUGUCUUUCUAUGGUCUGUUGGCCAUCUCAGAACUUGGGCAGUGACACGGUCAAUUCAUUAGAAAGAAACAGCU
ensembl:snoRNA